rnacentral:rRNA from 1 species
GUGCCAGCAGCCGCGGUAAUACGAGAGGCCCAAACGUUAUUCGGAAUUACUGGGCUUAAAGAGUUCGUAGGCGGUAUGACAAGUAGGGUGUGAAAGCCCUCGGCUUAACCGAGGAAUUGCGCUCUAAACUGUCGUACUCGAGGAACCUAGAGGUGAGCAGAACAGAUGGUGGAGCGGUGAAAUGCGUUGAUAUCAUCUGGAAUACCGGAGGCGAAGGCGGCUCACUGGGGGUUUUCUGACGCUGAGGAACGAAAGCCAGGGUAGCGAACGGGAUUAGAUACCCCAGUAGUCC